GAGACACCCUUCUGGGGCAAGACUUGCUUCAGUGGGGCUUUGGUGCUCACUGAGUCUGCCCCCAAACAUUUUGGUGUGUGUUUUU
rfam:Myotis davidii contig93771, whole genome shotgun sequence.